rnacentral:rRNA from 1 species
AGCGAACGCUGGCGGCAUGCCUAACACAUGCAAGUCGCACGGGGGGGCUUCGGCCUCCCAGUGGCGGACGGGUGAGGAACGCGUAGGGACCUGUCGAGGGGUGGGGGAUAACCGCGGGAAACUGUGGCUAAUACCGCAUGACGCCGCGGCGUGACAGCCGGGGCCAAAGGCGAAAGCCGCCCGCCGAGGGGCCUGCGUCCGAUUAGCUGGUUGGCGGGGUAGCGGCCCACCAAGGCGUCGAUCGGUAGCUGGUCUGAGAGGGUGAUCAGCCACACCGGGACUGAGACACGGCCCGGACUCCUACGGGAGGCAGCAGUGGGGAAUAUUGGACAAUGGGCGCAAGCCUGAUCCAGCAAUGCCGCGUGGGUGAAGAAGGUCUUCGGAUUGUAAAGCCCUUUCGGCGGGGACGAUGGUGACGGUACCCGCAGAAGAAGCCCCGGCUAACUUCGUG